AGGGAUGUAGCUCAGUGGUAGAGCGCAUGCUUUGCAUGUAGGAGAUCCUGGGUUCAAUCCCCAGCAUCUCCA
rnacentral:tRNA from 1 species